rnacentral:SRP_RNA from 2 species
GCGCUAGGCGGGGGACCAGGGGUACCCUGUAAUCCGAAAACCUCUAUAUGCGGAGCCGAUGAGUCGUAUGAGGCCUUUCGUAUGGUUGGUCGGCCUCGAUAAGGAACGUUGAUAUCAAGGUCUUGUGCAAUACCGUCCCGUGAACCGUGUCAGAGCCUGACCGCAGCAGCACUAAGCGGCUAACGGUGUGUGCCACGAGGUAACCUUGAAGUAGUCACCUGUCGGGGUAUCAC